CGGUCUUUAAUUUGCUUAUAAUCCUUUUUGUCUUAAAAUUUGAAUUUUCUUAGGAAGAAGUGUUUAUGUCAACCAAGUAAAUGUAAGUGACAAUUAGCAUGACCACUUUUCAACAGGACGUUGCGACUUCUACAGACUUAAGGAAAAGUUUCUACCCAUUUUUUUAUCUGCUGCAGUACCCAAAAAUAGUCCUCUUCAACAACCCUUAAGUAAAAGGAUUAUGUCAUUAACAGAGGCAGGACUGUAUAACUAUAUAUUCAAUUCUGCCAUUCCAAAUUUUACGUCAUGCCAAUCACCUCCGUCCAGGAUAUCAGUCAGCACAACUCUCUCUCUGACCAACUUAUGGGGCAUCUUUGUGGUCCUCGUUGGUGGACUCAUCAUCAGUCUGGUCAUCCUGGCUCUAGAGAUUCUAUCAUUUCAGUUUCUUCAAUGAUGAAACUGCAAGAAACGUAUUAUGUUAUCGAAAGAAAAAGAAGACAACGGAGAAGUCAUUAUACAGCAAGUCCCACAACAAUUUGAGACUUUAACUAAGACCUGUCGUACUUUAUAAUAUAUUCGUUAAUAAGUCUCUUAAUAUGAUGAUACUGCCAGCGUGAGUAAUCACCAGACCCUGGCGACAACUAAUUUAGAAUUAUAUCUAAAUACAAAUACAUUAUUCCUUUAACACCUAAAAGCAUAACUGCAGACAAUGGUUUGAUGUUGCACCUUUGGUUUAAUACAGAGACAGAAAGUAAUCGCACUUUCUACCUCAGCUUACGCUUGUAUGGUAUACUGUAGUCUGCAGUUGUCAAAUAUAUAUAUUAUAUGGCU